rnacentral:rRNA from 1 species
AGUAAUGCAUCGGAACGUACCGAGUAGUGGGGGAUAACUGUCCGAAAGGAUGGCUAAUACCGCAUACGCUUUGAGAAGGAAAGCGGGGGAUCUUCGGACCUCGCGCUAUUCGAGCGGCCGAUGUCUGAUUAGCUGGUUGGUGGGGUAAAGGCCUACCAAGGCGACGAUCAGUAGCGGGUCUGAGAGGAUGAUCCGCCACACUGGGACUGAGACACGGCCCAGACUCCUACGGGAGGCAGCAGUGGGGAAUUUUGGACAAUGGGCGCAAGCCUGAUCCAGCCAUGCCGCGUGUCUGAAGAAGGCCUUCGGGUUGUAAAGGACUUUUAUCAGGGAAGAAAAGCUUGAGGCUAAUACCCUUGAGUGAUGACGGUACCUGAAGAAUAAGCACCGGCUAACUACGUGCCAGCAGCCGCGGUAAUACGUAGGGUGCGAGCGUUAAUCGGAAUUACUGGGCGUAAAGCGGGCGCAGACGGUUACUUAAGUCAGAUGUGAAAUCCCCGGGCUCAACCUGGGAACUGCGUUUGAAACUGGGUGGCUAGAGUAUGUCAGAGGGGGGUAGAAUUCCACGUGUAGCAGUGAAAUG